rnacentral:tRNA from 1 species
AGGGAAAUCAACUGCCCCUCAAUGA